rnacentral:rRNA from 1 species
UACGUAGGGUGCAAGCGUUAAUCGGAAUUACUGGGCGUAAAGCGUGCGCAGGCGGUUGUGUAAGACAGAUGUGAAAUCCCCGGGCUCAACCUGGGAACUGCAUUUGUGACUGCACAGCUGGAGUGCGGCAGAGGGGGAUGGAAUUCCGCGUGUAGCAGUGAAAUGCGUAGAUAUGCGGAGGAACACCCAUGGCGAAGGCAAUCCCCUGGGCCUGCACUGACGCUCAUGCACGAAAGCGUGGGGAGCAAACAGG